GACGAACGCUGGCGGCAUGCUUAACACAUGCAAGUCGAACGAAGUGGCGAACGGGUGAGUAACGUGUAGUCAACCUGCCCUUCAAAGGGGGUAAACAGUUGAAAACGACUGCAAUUCCCCAAUACUGCAGAGUGGGAUUGAGGCGUAUUAGAGAGUUGGGGGGGGAACGGCCAACCCAGGCGAUGAGAAGUAGGCGGUCUGGGAGGAGGAACGGGCACAAUGGGACUGAGAACAGGCCCAAACUACUAAGGGAGGCAGGAGUUGGGAAACUUCCGCAAUGGACGAAAGGCUGACGGAGCAACGGCGCGUGAGUGAUGACGGGCUUCGGGUUGUAAAGCGCUGUUAAUCGGGAAGCGGUACCUGAAGAGAAAGCAACGGCUAACUACGUGCCAGCAGCCGCGGUAAUUC
rnacentral:rRNA from 1 species